rnacentral:rRNA from 1 species
AUUGAACGCUGGCGGCAUGUUUUACACAUGCAAGUCGAACGGUAACAGCACUUCGGUGGCUGACGAGUGGCGAACGGGUGAGUAAUACAUCGGAACGUGCCUAGUAGUGGGGGAUAACUACUCGAAAGAGUAGCUAAUACCGCAUGAGAUCUAAGGAUGAAAGCAGGGGACCUUCGGGCCUUGCGCUACUAGAGCGGCUGAUGGCAGAUUAGGUAGUUGGUGGGAUAAAAGCUUACCAAGCCGACGAUCUGUAGCUGGUCUGAGAGGACGACCAGCCACACUGGGACUGAGACACGGCCCAGAUUCCUACGGGAGGCAGCAGUGGGGAAUUUUGGACAAUGGGCGCAAGCCUGAUCCAGCAAUGCCGCGUGCAGGACGAAGGCCUUCGGGUUGUAAACUGCUUUUGUACGGAACGAAAAGCCCUCUUCUAAUACAGGAGGGUCAUGACGGUACCGUAAGAAUAAGCACCGGCUAACUACGUG